AGGGCGGCUGGUACACAUAUGCCUCGUAGGUCUUGCUAUCACCAUCGUCUCCAUUCACUGACAUCAAUAAUUAACAAUGUAACUUGAGUGCUGUUGUUCUCUUUGUUCUGCUUGGCCAUGGUGAACUUGUCAAUAACAUCAAAUGGAAGGAUCCUUAAUGUAUUCAAUGAGAAACCAAUCACCUAAGAGCAACCUUAAUGGUAGACUCUUAAUUUUAUCUCUUAACUAUUUUAUGAAUUGUAUUAUUGAAAAAAUUAUAGCUAAGAGUUUUUGUAAUGGUUUGAAGUUCUUAAACCUUCUUUUAUCUCUUAGCUAAGGACUUUUUCUAAACUAUUCACAUAUUAUUUUGAUUAUAUAUUAUACCUAAGAUUUAUAGUAAGAGACUUGCAAUAAGGAUGGUCUAAUGUCUCUUCCGUUCUUU